rnacentral:snRNA from 12 species
UUACUUACCUGGCAGGGGAGAUGUCACGAUCAAAGAGGUCAGUUUCCCCAGGUGCGGUGAACUUGACUGCACAAUUCUGUGGCAGUGGGGGACUGCUUUCUUGUUUUCUCUUU